rnacentral:rRNA from 1 species
UACGUAGGGUGCGAGCGUUAAUCGGAAUUACUGGGCGUAAAGGGUGCGCAGGCGGUCCCGCAUGUCGGGCGUGAAAUCCCCGGGCUUAACCUGGGAAUGGCGUCCGAAACUAUGGGACUGGAGUGUGGCAGAGGCACGUGGAACUCCCGGUGUAGCGGUGGAAUGCGUAGAGAUCGGGAAGAACACCCGUGGCGAAGGCGGCGUGCUGGGUUGCAACUGACGCUGAGAUGCGAAAGUGUGGGGAGCAAACGGG